UUCUCAGUCAUGCAGUGUGACAAAGAAGUCAACAUCAGCCCUGCUCCAUAUUGUCUUCAUUUGUGAUCCCAGCCAAAGGAAGAGCCCUUAUCUAAGACAGUCUCCUUCUUUUGGCAAAAUGAUAUUAACAUGGAACACUUUGAAAACAUGGAUUAAAACAUAGAGAAGAAAUGGUAUAAGUCAGUGUUCAUUGAAAGAUUGGAGACAAAUACAUCCAUUGAUGAUUUUUCAGUGAGUCGAGAUACCAAACACCUUCCAAACACUGCCCUGCAUUUACACACCAUUGGAUCGGAUGGCAUAAACCAAGCAUUGGAUGAGGAGGUUGGAAGUUCUGUACAGGACCAGUGGCAGUGGAGCCUCUCACGUGUACCAUCUUCGUAAUCAACCAAGCAGAUGCACAGAUCCCCUAAUCUCAACCUGCAUCCCUCUUUACUAUAAAGAAAACUGAUGUCG